CCCCCACCCCCAGCUACUGUACUUGAAGUGUGAUUCACUGUGAGUAAGGGCGAUUGAAGCAGUCCCUUUGGACUGAAGGCUUCUCAGGGAGAAUUCCACUCCCACUUACCCUUGAACACAGAAUCCAGGUGGCCGUUGAAUUGCCCUGACCCUGGACAGUUGCCAGAAAGCCAUUUAAGGCUGCCAGAUGAAGCAGCAAAGGGCCUCUGGGAGAGGCUGCUGAAAAUGCCCUUUCCGCACAUUAGCAGGAAAAGAGCAAGUAGCUUAGACCUCACCGACAUUCUUCUAAUAUUUGAAGAGUCUCCAGCAGCAUCUCCUGACUCUUGCAGCUGCUUUCCACUUUAGGCAUCAUUUGCACAUCUCCUGGCAACUUCCUGACUCAAUCCAACUGAAAACCACCCCAGCUGCCAGAAAUAUCUUUCUACUAACAGCAGCAGGGUUCAUAAUCUGUUGUUCAGUGGCUGCUCUCAGAGACAGCUUCCAGGGCAGCACUUGGGGGAUGAAAAGGUGGCACAAACUAAAAUAAAAAU